AAUUAGGUGAAUCGGCCCAUCUCAAUGAGAAAGGAUUCUAUUCAGACAAGAAAAAGAAAGCCUAAAAGCAGUGGAUCUUCAUCCAAGGGAAAGGGACAUUCAUCAGGGAUUGGCUCCAGCAAUGGAUCUUCCAGCAAAUCUCCGAAUGUUUCAACCACUAGCUCUACCUCAUCUUAUCUUCCACAGGUGAGCAUGGAGGGGGACAUGGGGGAUGCCCCACCACACCACCGACUCGUCCACUCACCUCUCCUGCCAACGUCCGCAGCCUUAUCUCAACAGCUGCCCCAUUUUCCGCCCUUGGACUCCCCAAACGAAACGGGGGAAAUCAUUCUAGAAAAUGGAAUGGUUCUUGAAACAAACCCCUCUGUUAUCAGUUUGGCCCCCAACAAACAGCAACUGUGAUAAUUCCAAUCAGGGAGUUAAAAGGUCAAUAUUUUUUUCUCUUCCUUUUCGUGGUUUUCUCCUCUUCUUUCCUCAGUCACGUCGGCCUUAUCUUUUUCACGUCAAGUUUACUACGGAAGCAAAAGUUUGAGAUGUUUGGCGUUGAAAGAGGGAUGUCAUUAUUUGAUGUUUGAAUUAGGUUGUGAUUUUUGUACAUCGUUCUUAUUACAUUAUUGGCUGUGACAAUAAAUGAAUUGUGUCAAAGGGAUGACCAAAUGAAUUAUAGUACAACAAAAUCUAUUUUAUAACGAAUUUAAAGUUAUCUAUACAAAAGCUGUUAUAUCAUAUUGAUUUGGAGAAAAGAAUAAGUGGUUAAUCGAUAUUGCAUUAAGAGUAAUAACAUCAUGCUUAAAGCAAUGAGUAAUACCGAAGGAGCAUGCUGAAAUACGAUUUAUUUUAUACUUUUAUAAGUACAAAUGUUUUUUAAUAAUACACACUUUUUAUAAGCACGUUUUUAGAAAUGUUUACUUGAUUAGUAUAAAUAUCAUGAUAAAACAUACAAGUGAGAAAUUUAAAUUAUCUUUCUUUCUUUGUACAAUUUUGACAAUUAAAUCAAUUUAUUAAAACAAAUGCUACAUUCUACAGUUUAAAAUAAUUACAUGCUUUCGUUAGGUAAUUUUCUUACUUAUUAUUUUCUUACUUACUUUCUACUUAUUAAUCUUGCUUAUUAAGUAUUUAUCAAAUUUUAUUAAACUCUUAAAGCAUUUAUCGAAUAAAAUAGCCCCAUUUUUUUUAAUUAAUUCACUUAAAUGUUAAUUUUUCUCCUAAAAAUUUGAAGAAAAAAAAUUAACAUCAAGUUAUGUAGUGUAUCUUACUUGCGUUAUGAUUUUUAGAGUUUAAAAAAAUGAGUUUACAAUAAAAUUUUAUUUUUCUACAUAAUGACUAAUAAAAAACUUUUUAAAUAUGUGUCACAAAUUCUAAAUAUUUCAAAAAAUACUAAUACUCUGAUUUUUUCAAAUCAAAAGUUAAACGAUUCCUUUUGUGUUUUAUAAGAAAUCAAACUAAGAUUUUUUGAAGUCAUAAAAUUACAAAUAAAUUUAUCGCCAUAGAGAUUGAUUUUAUUUUGUUUGUAAAUAAGGCCCAUUAGUGUCAAACAUAUUUUAGUGAAAUGGUUUGCCUUUUAUUAUCAUGUAUGUACAUAAAUGUGAAGUACAAAAAUUUCUCUUUACUGAAAAAUAUAUUUCCUCGUAUUAGUUUUGUAUGUUUCUAGUCUUAAUAUAAAAAAAGUCAUUUUUCGUGUUUAAACUAAACUUACUAGUAUUACAUUAAAACUAUACCAAAGAACUUCUAGUCCCUGUAUUAGAGAGAUUAAGCACUCUCACUUAGCAUUCGGCCUACUCUCGUUACUGUGUGGGCUCUGUGCAAGCUCUGUCGAGAACCAAGGUUGUUUUCUGGGAACUGCGCAGCGCAGAACUUGUUAGACGAGAGCGUGAGGGAUGCUACAUGACAGUGAGAAAUCUCUUUACUGUCAGGACCUGUGAUAAUGAAACGUUCACAAGACGAGGCUUUGUCACCAUGUCCACAAGCAGCUGUAAGACUGUCAAAAAAUUAAGAGUUUAAAACAAACAUGUUAUUGUUGAGAAAUGAAUAAAUUUAUGACGGCUCUUAAAAAUCAACAAUGGAACCAACGAAAGCUGACGUCGAGACUGAAAGUUUCUUAUUUAGAUUUUUAUUAUUGCCAAAGAAUAUUUUUUGCCUUUUGAUAUUUUUUCGUUGCUAAUUAAGUUAUUUUGUGAAUGAAUAAAUUAAAUACAUAAUAAGCUUGCAAAUUAAUAAUAAUAAAUAAUGUUCACAGUUUUUAUAAUAGUAUGUUUACAAUGUUUUUAAUUGAUGAAAUAAAAGUUUUACAGUGAUUUCAAUGAUUAAACUGUGUGCUUACAGUAGUGUUAAUUGAUCAAAAAGCAUGCCUCCAGUCUUUUAAGUAGACGAAAAAGUAUGGUCAUAGUCCUUUGUUUAAUCAAAAAAUUAUGCUUAAAGUUCUUUUUAUUGAUGAAAUAGUGUGCUUAAAGCUUUUAUGCUCUCUAAAAAGAUCUUUUGUAACUAAAGAACAUCCCUGGUAUAUUUUUUAUGUAAAUUUUUGGGAUCAAUGACUUGUGAGCAUUUGGUCUCUAUUUUUGUAAAUAAGAAAUUAUUGAUAUUAAUUCUUAUUCUUGAAUUUUUAAAUAAAAUAAAUAUUGUAUGAA